rnacentral:pre_miRNA from 1 species
UAUCUACUCCCUCCGUCCGAAAAUACUUGUCAUCAAAAUGAAUAAAAGGGAAUGUAUCUAGACGUAUUUUAGUUUUAGAUACAUCCCUUUUUGUCCAUUUUGAUGACAAGUAUUUUCGGACGGAGGGAGUAUUAU